rnacentral:lncRNA from 1 species
CAAUGUGUCUAACAAGGAGAGGUCCCCAAGUGGAAUCCGCUGAUUUUGAUGGGGCUUAGUGGGGUUGUAGAGUGUGCCUUCCUGAAUAUAGUGAUGCCCCCUUUUGCCGGCAGACGGUCGGCCGUUUUCGAGAUAUUGCGGGUCAAAGUUUUGGGCGAAUGUUUGACUGCAGUUUGGAAUCGCCGUAUUGAGCGGGCUGUCGUGGCCUUGUGGAUGCGGGCGUUGCUGGGGUGGUUCGGCCUGGGUUCGAGUUCUGCUGCCGACAUAAAUUUUUUUUCUUUCAUUUUUAUUUAUUUAUUUAUUUAUAGAGUAUUUUGUUGUGACGAAAAU